AACGAACGCUGGCGGCAGGCUUAACACAUGCAAGUCGAACGGGUGUAGCAAUACAUCAGUGGCAGACGGGUGAGUAACACGUGGGAACCUUCCUAGGGGUACGGAACAACUCAGGGAAACUUGAGCUAAUACCGUAUACGUCCGUAAGGAGAAAGAUUCAUCGCCCCUAGACGGGCCCGCGUCGGAUUAGGUAGUUGGUGGGGUAACGGCCUACCAAGCCUACGAUCCGUAGCUGAUCUGAGAGGANGAUCAGCCACACUGGGACUGAGACACGGCCCAGACUCCUACGGGAGGCAGCAGUGGGGAAUCUUGGACAAUGGGCGCAAGCCUGAUCCAGCCAUGCCGCGUGAGUGAAGAAGGCC
rnacentral:rRNA from 1 species